rnacentral:rRNA from 1 species
AUCGAUAAUCCACGUUAAUUUUCACUUUAAUUUGAAACCUAUAUACCACCAUACUAAGAAUUAAUUCCAAAAUAUUUCUUUAAAAACAAAUAAAAUAUUAGGUCAAGGUGUAAUUUAUAUUAAAGAAUAAAUGAGUUACAUUAAAUAAAAUUUAAAGAUUAUUUAUAAAUAUAUAUAUAUAAAUAAGAAUUUAAAAGCAAUAUUUAAAUAAUAUUAUAAUAUGAUAUAGAAAAUAAAUGUGUACACAUCGCCC